AUGAACGCUGGCGGCGUGCCUAAUACAUGCCAGUCGCGCGAACAGAUAAGGAGCUUGCUCCUUUGACGUUAGCGGCGGACGGGUGAGUAACACGUGGGUAACCUACCUAUAAGACUGGGAUAACUUCGGGAAACCGGAGCUAAUACCGGAUAACAUUUGGAACCGCAUGGUUCUAAAGUGAAAGAUGGUUUUGCUAUCACUUAUAGAUGGACCCGCGCCGUAUUAGCUAGUUGGUAAGGUAACGGCUUACCAAGGCGACGAUACGUAGCCGACCUGAGAGGGUGAUCGGCCACCCUGGAACUGAGACACGGUCCAGACUCCUACGGGAGGCAGCAGUAGGGAAUCUUCCGCAAUGGGCGAAAGCCUGACGGAGCAACGCCGCGUGAGUGAUGAAGGGUUUCGGCUCGUAAAACUCUGUUAUUAGGGAAGAACAAAUGUGUAAGUAACUGUGCACGUCUUGACGGUACCUAAUCAGAAAGCCACGGCUAACUACGUG
rnacentral:rRNA from 1 species